GAUGAACGCUGGCGGCGUGCCUAAUACAUGCAAGUCGAGCGAACAGACGAGGAGCUUGCUCCUUUGACGUUAGCGGCGGACGGGUGAGUAACACGUGGGUAACCUACCUAUAAGACUGGGAUAACUUCGGGAAACCGGAGCUAAUACCGGAUAAUAUUUCGAACCGCAUGGUUCGAUAGUGAAAGAUGGCUUUGCUAUCACUUAUAGAUGGACCUGCGCCGUAUUAGCUAGUUGGUAAGGUAACGGCUUACCAAGGCAACGAUACGUAGCCGACCUGAGAGGGUGAUCGGCCACACUGGAACUGAGACACGGUCCAGACUCCUACGGGAGGCAGCAGUAGGGAAUCUUCCGCAAUGGGCGAAAGCCUGACGGAGCAACGCCGCGUGAGUGAUAAAGGUCUUCGGAUCGCAAAACUCUGUUAUUAGGGAAGAACAAACGUGUAAGUAACUGUGCACGUCUUGACGGUACCUAAUCAGAAAGCCACGGCUAACUACGUG
rnacentral:rRNA from 1 species